GUCCACGCCGUAAACGAUGCUCACUCGCUGUUUGCGAUACACAGCAAGCGGCCAAGCGAAAGCAUUAAGUGAGCCACCUGGGGAGUACGAUCGCAAGGUUGAAACUCAAAGGAAUUGACGGGGGCCCGCACAAGCGGAGGAACAUGUGGUUUAAUUCGAUGAUACGCGAGGAACCUUACCUGGGCUUAAAUGUAGAGCGACAGAUUGUGAAAGCAGUCCUUCUUCGGACGAUCUACAAGGUGCUGCAUGGUUGUCGU
rnacentral:rRNA from 1 species